CUUUUCUUCUUCUCACGCACGCUAGCCCACUCCCCCCUGAGUUUUUCUUCCCUUCCUUUCGCGAGCAGCCGCCUCGCCCUUCCCGUCGCCCAGCACUGCCUCCCUAGCUGAGUCGCUCCCAGCCGAUCUCCUCCGCGCGCCGCUCGUCUGGAUCCCUUUCACCAUCUCGCCUAAGGCCUUUCAUUCGCGAGCAUCCGCGCCAGAUUCGCCUGCCCCGUCGCGCCGCCUGUCUCCCAACCAGUUUCCUCCGCUCCUUGUGCUGUGCUGCUCGACUCGUCGCACCGUCGCCUGCACUAGUUACGACCCCCGAGCGUUCUCCCUUUUCUCUUCAGCUCGCCGUCGAUCGAAGCCUCCACUAGCCAGCCACGUCUGUCUGGCACCGCCUAGCCCCUGCCACCGUCAUGGUUUCCGUCGGAUCUGUUUUGGGUGAGUUUUUCGUCAUUGCGUUUCGCCAAAUCUUGUGAAUUUGGUCGAGAGAAGCUUGGAAGUCAAAGAGGGCAUCGUCGAGGAAGGUGGGAGUGGUUUCGUCAUUGGGAUUCACUAGCGGUGAUGCUUUCCUUCAGGAUUCACCCGAGGUUGUGUGUCCUUUCGGCUUCACUAGAGGUAAUGGUUUCCUUUGGAAUCCAUAAGAUCCUUUGGGAUUCACCAGAGAUUGUGGGUCCUAUGGAACUUACUACAGAUAAUCUACAGUAGGACUAGAGGAGUGCUUACGUCCCACCAGAGAUAAGAGCGGGGACACGCCGACGAAUGAGAAGAGGAAUCCAUGAACGAUUCACUAGGGACCAGUUUUAUGCUUCCACUCAUGAUAUUUAGAUUUCUUUUCAUGGUUUUCAACUUUCAGUUUUGAUGUUUGAAACUUACUGUUAAGAUUCGUUUUCAGGCCUAUUAAUUAUCAUUUAUGAUU